GAUAUGGUCAUUACACAUGAGGAAACAUUAAGAGUGUACUGCACAACCUUCUAUGGACAGACCUAUGGGUGCAUAUAUAGUCAGAAUUUCAUCCUCUUCCAAAGAUUGCAAGGAACAAUAUCUGUACAUACAGUAUUCAGUUGGUAGCCAACACAGCAAUUUCAGAGACAGAUGGAUCACUUAGCCAGACUCUUGGAAGGAGAGAAAUUAUGAGAUGGCACUAACAGCACAGAUACAUAUUUUUACAAACUCAGGAAAACAAUGAUUCAAUUAGAGAAGCUAUUCACUAACGGUAUACAUACAUAUUCAGUAAGACCAUGAUUCAAGGCUGCCCACGGUACGGUCCAGGAAGCAGGCAUAGGCCACAUUAACUUCAUCUUUUGCCUACAUCAAGAAAUAGUUCUUCCAAUGAGACAUUAACUUCAUUUGUUAAAGUUAUUCACUGAGAUGCCACUCCUCUAUUUCCAUUUCCUUCUUAUUUGUAGUGUUUCUCUAACAACACGGUGAUGCUUUUGUGAAAAAUGAUUAGGAUCUGACCGCAAUAAUCUGACAUUGCUAUCCAUGUAGUCCACAAAUUUGGCCUAAUCAGAAAGAGUCACCGCACACAACCUAUAUUGCAGAAGGCUGUAACCACAUGAUGACCAAUUUGUCACCUGUUCCAAGACAUGUGGGCCUUAAAAAAUCUGAAUUAACAAAAAAUCUUGCUUAACCAAAGGAAGCACACACCGCCAAAUGAGACCACAAUGGAAAUUAGGAAACACAACAUCUUUAAAAUUAGAAUUAGUAGAGAAAAAAAUGUACCUGUAAUACUUUUAUUUACAAAGCAUGUAAAGAGGUAAAAAUACUACAUCUUGAAACACUGAAAGAGUUCAACUUAAACAAAUCUUUAAGUAUAUCCGGGCAACUCUAUAUUGCCAAAGAAAAUUACUAAACAUACAUUCCUAAUCUUGGUCACAGGACAACUGUCUAGCUAGUCAAUUGCUUGUAUACUUGUGUCUCCUUUAUUUCUGAACAUGCAAUGCAUGGCGAGCUCUCAGCUGGCUCUCUAAUAUACAACUCCACUCAUCUGCUAAACAAAACUAAACUCUAGGCACAACCUCUCAUGGGCAAGUGAUGCAUCACAGGACUUUCCUCCGAAAAUAGUUGCCUCCAUUCAGCAACUGCUAGUUUCAAAUUGACGCCUAAUCAUAACAUACUACUGAUUAUCUCUGAAAGUUUAAUUUGUUCAUGGUGCAAUUGGCGGUGAGAAUAUAAAAUUUAUUGGAGCCUAAAUAAUACUUCAGUUUACAGGAUGCCUAUUUGAUGUUAUAGGAAAGGAUAUUUAUUUCAGCUUACAGUUUACGAGAGCUGGUUCUGCAUUUGACAUAUUUAAGCUCAUAAUGGUUGUAGCUGGCUACUGCCUGUUCUUUUUAGCAAACAUUGAAAAAAGUUUCUAUAGGAAAUCCGGGACAUCUUUUGUUGUGUUUGAAGAAAAAGGUUCCAAUCAUUUAACCCUCCAAAUAAGUAGAUGGCGCAAAUGUCUCCUGUGUAUGAUAAUUGAAAGUCAUCUAAUCUGGAUAUCUUUGGUUGUUCAAAAAAAAAGAAAAAAAAUCUGAACAUCCUUGGUUGUGGUCAGAUUUCUUGACUAUGUCCCAUUGGUAUGUAGCUAGCUUAUCUUGCUAUUUUUGUAUACCUGUUUCUGGUUGAUCUCUAAGGCCAAAGAUGCUAUUCAUACGUACUGGCUUAUUUUAAUAUUGUUUAUUUUUCCCCUUCCAUGGUUUAGCUGCUACUACACCACGAAUUACUAUAAUCCUAUAUAAUGCACACUGGGGAAAAAUAUAAGCAUAUAAUCCUACAUAAUGCACAUUGGGGAAAAAAAUAUAAGCAUAUAAUCCUACACAAUGCACAUUCGAGAAAAUAUAAGCAAUCUUCGCUAUUUCAGAAUAGGACAUAAAAAGCAUGAAAGAUCGCUGCAUUACUUAAGAAAGUGUCAAAUAUGCAAUUUCCUCUUCAGAAGACAUAGAGGCAGCAAAUAUGAUAGCUAUAAGGAACCUAAUAAUUGGAAAUGAAAAAUAAUAGGAAUCCAUAUUAUAUCUGGCAUUCUGCCAAAUCGAAGCCUAGACUACGAUAAAUCCAGCGCCAGUUGUCAAACAUUGUAACUACUGAUAUCAUCUACUAAACAAAGUAGGUAACCUCUACGAAAUAGGUAAUACUAUUAGCCAGCUCCAACUGGGGGGGGGGGGGGGGUAAUGUUAAGUCUAGCAGAUUGAUUAAUUCAAAUGCCAACCAAGACCUUUUUUAUGUGGAGUUACUCAUGAUUACUAAAACAUAGGAAUUGAGCACAUCUUUCUAAUAUAUUCUUUAAAUCGCAGCAAUGCAUGAGAACUGUUACAUAAUUCUUGAUUACAGAUUUAGGCCUACAUCAAAGUCUAUGUAAAGAAGAAAAGGUGUAUAUAAACCAUAGAGAUUAAACAAAAACUAUUUUUAAUGAAAGCACAAAAACUUGAGUGCACAAAAAAUAGUACACACCUGCACAAGCUAGACAUAGAUCUGUAUUUCUUUUGAGUGGUCUGCACAGAAUAAAUUGAAGAAUACAAUAACUGAAUAUAACCAAAAACUUGUCAGUUUGCACACAUCAAAAUUCAGAACUCUUGCUAUUCAAAACACUUUCUAUCCCUGAUUCAAGAACAAGCAAAAUAGCUAUAACCUGUGAGCAUAAAAACAAUUUGACCACAUGACCAAUUUGAAUGAUGAUCCAUACAGUAAAGGCUUGAUUACCUAUCAUAUAAAAUAAAAUUUAGCUAGCAACGCACAUUUUAUUCCUUAGAGCAUACUUCCUAUAAAAAUCAUAAUAGUUCACCUGAACCUAGAACACUUUAGCAGCUCUUGAUGCUGUCAGCUUAUCUAUAGCAUGUUUUAGAAAAUAGGUGUCAAAGUAUAAAGGACCUUACACUUUGGAGGCGUAAGUAAUGUUCUCUUCAAAGACUGUGUGGUUCGGCUCAUUCCUGCGUCCACCUUAUAUUGUAUUACAUAUAAGAUAUCAAAUUCAGAAAGGAAUCCAUCAGCAAGCAUAGUUUUACAGAGCCUCCUCUGAAAAAAGAUAAGCAAUGAGAUUCUUUACAUGAGUAACCACCUUUUCUUUAUGAAUCCUCUUGCUGAACUAUAUGACUUUCUUAACCACCACCCUCACCCUGAUUAUGUACAUGAGGUGGACUUUUAUACUUAACUAAGUACUAUCAAUUAUUCAAUCCGUUCAGAUGUCAUGAGAUAAGCAACAAUGAUGAAAGCACUACAGUAAAUUUGAAUUAAAUGAUAUUAAAUAAAUAUACAGAGAUGCAGAAGAGAGUUGACAGUCUUGUGCUAAGCAAUAUACUAAAUAGAGAUGCUACAUGGGUAAGGUCAAAUUCCAAUUUGGAAUUAUCAAACAGGCAACAACUUAUGCCAAGUGGUUUGUGUCACAAACAUUAAAUUUCAUCGCGCUAGCAAAUUGUUCUGUCAAAUUUGACACCUUCAAAUCAAAUUGCUGCUGCUAUGCUAUUACUACCACGCCCAACCUAAUUCUAUAACAAUAUGUCAGUUUGUAUCCCAGUUCUAACAGAUUUAAGUAGACAAGAGCAAUAAGUAUGCUAUUCUUUUUCCUGCAGAUCUAAUAAAAAUAUGAAUAGAUGUAAGCACAUCAAAUUAAAACUAAACAUGCUAUACUCUGCAUAUGUACAUUAAGGCUUACAUAUCCAAAGUGAAAGUGCAUUUAAACAAUUUUAGAGCAUUUAGAUCUAACAAACGUAUAGGAAAAAAUCGACAAUUACCACUACACCACAGCCCAAAUAUAGCAUCGCCCGAUGGGUCGUUAUAAGCCGUUUCAGCGUCAUAUGGUCGGUCGUUAUAAACUUAUAACGACAAAUAUAUCAACCGUUAAUAGUGGCGACGUUAUAAACAUUUAACGUCGGACCGACAUCUAACGUCGGACCGUCUGACCUUAAGUAAAAGAUAUAACGACCGACUCUCUGCCGUUUUUAAUAAACUUAUAACGACGCAUCGUCUGAUGAUAUAUAUUUAUAGCGACCCACUGUCCGUCACUAUGCAUACAAAUAUUUACCACAUAAUAUGAUGUGUUGUUCAUAUGUUAACCAUACAAUCAACAGUGUCAUGUCAUACAUUCAAACAAUAUAAUACAUAAUCAUGAAACACAUGUAAACUGGACCAAAUAAAGCUCACAAGUUAUAUUAAAGCCAUCAUAUCACAAUGUGUCAUGCCAUUUACAUACAAUUCAUGGCAUAGAAAAGCUAAGCUAAAAUAAGCUUGGCCAAAAUGCAAGAGGUAUUUAGUUUCACAACCCAAGUCUCAUAGUUCGCUUCCACUCUUUACAAAAUGAUCCACCUCUAGUAAGUCAAACCCAAGUUUUCAUCUAUAGCUAAAAUGACCAAAACAUUUUGUCAUGAGCACUUUGAUCCAAUCAUUGGCUGCAUUCUACUUCCAGCUACUUCUUCCCACUACCUGUAAAUAAAAGUUGAAAUUCAUCAAAAAGAAAUACAACAGUGGACAAAGGUUCAUAAAAAAUAAAAUAAAAAUAAACCAUGGUUGCACAUUGGACAUAUAGUUAACUGACAUUAAUUCAAUGUUAUCUGAAAAGAUGGUUUGAAACAAGCAUCCAUCUAUCUAUACACUCAUAAAGUAUAACAAAUAAGAAGCAAAUCAGUAGCACCUAUGUUUUCUAGGUUGAAGAUAUGUACAAAGGUUCAACAAGCUAUAUGAUGGAAAAAAUUUAGAAUAGCACACCUGUUCCAUGGGAUGGUUUUUUAGGCUUACAUUUCUUGAUCUGUUAGACAUAUCAAUGAUUAGAAAAUCUAGGCACUCAUUACAUAUGAAAACAACAAAGAAUGACAAGUGUAGUUACCCUAUUAUAUGGCCAUGCAAUUGACAGGUCCUUAGCAUCUGCCAUCUCUUGCACACCAGGAUAUGGGCGAGGUAGCUUUGCAUCCCUUUUCAUCACAAACCUGAUAACAACUUCACAGUAUUUCCUUCCAAGAGCAUGUCCUGCGUGCAUGGUGCUAGGAUUAACUGAAAUAACUAUUCCCUUGGCCACAGGUUCAUCUCUAUGGAGUGCAUGGAGUAUAACUUCUUUGCCAAUCUGAAUUAAACAAUGUAUUUAUGAGAAUUGUAUUCAUUAAAAAACACCAUUGAACUAGAAGCAAAACAAAAUGAAAAAUGAUGAGAACAUUACAAGGUCAGCAUGUGAGUUGUGAUUUGCAUCACCAUUCCUUGGUGGGCCUGCACCAUCAGAGCUAGACUGAGGGCACUGAACAAUUGGGAUAGUAGAAAUGGGGCAAGACUGAGGGGGCUGAACAACUGUGGUUGUAUGAAUGGGGUUAGAGUGAGGGCGCUGCAUAGAUGAGGCUGCAGGAAAUGUGUUGGGCUGCACAAAUGGAGAGCUGUCGGACAGGUGAGGCUGCUGGACUGGUGUUGCUGAGUUGGUCCUACGCACAAGCACAUAUUCAUACUCAUUAGAGUUAUCUGCAUAGGCACCAUCUUCAUGAAAUUCAGCAUCAUCGUGUGUCUCGACAUAAAUUUCUCCAGAUCUUGGGCUCUAUAGACAUAAAAAUGGGGAAUUAGAGCCAUUUUGGAGCAAGACAAAAAGAACUUAGAAAAAACUUAUGUGAAAUCAGAAACUACUUGGGGUGCAGAUAGGUCAUAGGUGUUUAACAUAGUAACAGAUGAUUUCUGUUAUGUGCCAAUUAUGUGGCCACAAAAUCAAGGACUGACAAUUCAAUCAGAGAAUGUACAAAUAGUUUACCUCAUGGUGUCGUGAGUUAGAGUCAUUCUGGGAGAUAUUUUCCAUAUUAGACCUUUCACGCGCCAAUUCAGCUUCUAAUUCUGCUAUGCGUUGUUUUAGAGCUGCUUGGUGACUUUCUUUCCUUCUACAUUCUAGAACUUGCAUUUGAACCCUUGUUGGUGUGUAACCCUUGACUCCUAGUGUACCAAUAGUUUGGGGAGUUGGUCCUAGACCCAAAACCCGAACUCACCCUUUUGGUUCCUUUUUUCCACAGGCAAUAGCAAAUGCAUCGCCUUCUUGGAUGGUUCUUUGUGUCAGUUCUGGUUGGGCUUCAAUAACUGCCUUAAGUUUAUUCUACACAAACAGAAUAUCAUUAUUAAUAUGCCAAAACCUAUAUUUCAAAUGGUGAUAUUUGUUCAAAGAAAAACUUACUAUAAUUGGUUCUGCAUUCCUCGAUGCAAUUCCAUUUUUUCUUGUAUGUGUUUUGAUAUAGAGUUCGUCCCUUCGAGGAGGGCGCCCUAGUUUAAUAGCCUACAAGUGUUUUACUUUUAGUACUUAAGAAAUGAAGCACGUUACAUAUUGAAAAAUAGGUAUAGUUAACAUACUAGUUCAUGCCCGUUACAAGCAAAGCUCUUGGUACCCGUUGUAUGAUGUAUGGACAACUUUGCACGGUUUGCUUUGGCAAUUUCAGUUUGUGCCUAUGAUAGAUAUACAGUUGUAUGAGAAAGAUCACUACAAGCAGCAACCAACAAGUAGCAAAGAUGGUUGUAACUAGCAAAUAGAAACUAGGGGUAGUACUUACUUCAGAUUCUGGAGAUGACCAAUGGUUUUUGAGAAAGUUCCAAUCAUCAUCAUUCAGUCUUUUGCCUUGUUUUGUCCUUAUUUUUUGUUCUGUUAUUUCGCCUUUCAAAAACUGUUUCUUCAAGUUUGCUUUAAAAUCCUUCCAUUUCUUUCCAGCAGCAGUCAAAAACCAGUCAAAGGCUUUAUCAUCAAUAUCAAAGAAUUCCUAGUGUGUAGAGAAAAAUUAGCAAAUGAGUUCUAAUCAUGAAGUGAGAAAACAAUGCAGCCUACAAAUAAAACUAGAGCUGCUCCAUAAUGGAUGCACUAUGAAGUGAAAAUAAUUGCAUGCUAGAAAUACCUUCAUGUCUAUCCAUACUUCAUCCUUUAUGUGAGGAUCAACAAGCCUCCAAUCAGCACAAGCAAUUGAUAUUUUCUGUCUUACACGGACCCCAACAGCACCAGAAAACCUCCUAGCAUUGUCACCAAUGGGCUGACCAUGUGCAUUGACCAUAACUUUGAUUUUAGGCAUUUCAGGUUUCCUUGCAAAGACUUCAUCCAAUCUACUGAUACCUCUUCCAUUCCUCUUCUCUUGUGAAUUGCAGUGAAAGUCUGCUAUAAAUAACUAGAGAAAUUAGAAGCAGGCAUAAUAAAAAUCUGCUAUAAAUAACUUGACAAAAUCUGUUGUGAUAUACAAGACCUUCAUUAUCACAUAAAAAACCGCCAGUUGACUCAUAUUCCCAAUCAUCUUCCGAUAAACCUUCUUCAGCUAAUUUUUCUUCAGCUAAAUCUUCUUCAACUUGCUCAUUCACAUUUAUUGCAUGCCUUGUUUGUGGCCUUGGCCGUAGAUUAUGAACCCGGGUUGCAUCAACACAUGUUUUACGAGUACUCUAAAAGGUAGUAGAUAUCAGCAGUAUUAAAUGAGCAAAAUCAUUUUAGUAGAACCAUUUAUAUAAGAGAUUACCUUUGCUCUUUUCCUAGGUUGUUCUUUGCAUGUAUUCAUAGGAGGGAUUCCAAGUGAUGCCAGCAUCUCGUUGUUGAGUGCAACAUUUUCAUCCCUAUCCUGCUCAUACUCAGUUAGUUGGUCAUUGUUACUUCUUCCUCUUGCGCUUGCCAUUUGUUUUCCUGAAAAAUGACCCAAACAUCAACAAUCUAUAUGGAAGGGAUCAAUAAAACAAUCAAUAACAAAUAUCUGCAAUAGGCAUCACUUAAACAACACUUACUUUCUAGGCUUUUUAGGCUUUUGGAGAAAAACAAGUGUUCCAUCUAUAUCAGUUCUAACAGAAGGAACCACCCCAUUUACAAUGUCGACUGUCACAUUUGCACUUAGAUCAUAUAAUGGCCAUGCUAAUCCAUUAUUAUUAUCCAUGUGUUCAUUCUCUAAAUUAUCUAAGUCAUUGUGACUUUAGAAUGCUAAUCCAUUAUUGUUGCCUCAGCGACUACAGCCACCCCACUAUUUUGAAUAGGUCUUCCCUUAUCAUAGGGUUCUGUGUGGAAACAGAAUCCAUUAAUACUAUAGCUACUAUACUUGCAUACAUUCAACAUUGGCCCCUUGGCCAAAAUUUUUAUCUCAUCUGGUGCUUCCUCACACAUUUCUCCCACCUGUGAUUAUGAAAGACUGCUAUUAAAAUGUGUAAAAUCUAUCACAAAUAGCAAGUCCUAAGUUUUACUUUCACUUACAUGCAACAUUAACCACUCAUGAAAGGAUUCAUGACGCAUCCGGUUGAUGUCACGUUUAUUUCGAUGGCCAAUAGAGGAAAGAUAUUGAUCAUGCUUGCUGCAAAAGUUAUUGUGACUUUAGAAUGCAGGGGAAUUUGAUUAUAUAUGAUGCAAGUGGUUUUCCUAACUUACUCCAAGUAAGGCGCAAUGUUUUCAUGGUUGAACAAAACAUAUCUAUGAGCUUGCACCCAUGUCUUGUGGUCUAAACAAAAUGUGCAUUUUCCAGCCAAGCCUUGACCAAUGCUACGGAAGAAAGGAGGUGUACGAUCAUCUUCUUCUAUUCUAGGUUGACGGCUAAUUUGUCCCACGCCAUGUAGGUAGCGAGCACAAAGUGUAAGGAACCCAGUAAAAUUAGACCACUCCAUAAUUGAUCCCUCAGGAUGACUUUUUGUACGUACAGAACCCUUUAAUCUCAUGAGAAACCUAUAGACAUAAAUAACAGGCAUAUUAAUUGAUAAUGGUAUAUAACUAGUAGGUUUGUAUACAUAUUCAGUAAGACACAUGGCCUAAGAUAUAAGUACCUCUCCACGGGCCACAUGCUGCGAAAAUGGACUGGACCAGCUAUUUUUGCUUGGGCAGGAAGAUGUACCAUCAAGUGUACCACAAUGUCGAAGAAAGAUGGAAGAAAUAUAGUCUCAAGCAGGCUCAAGGUUUCAGCUAUGUCAGCCUGUAGACUAUCCAUAUCACUUAUUCGAAUGACAGGGGUAGAAAGUUUCUUGAAAAAGUUGGAUAUACGAAUCACUCCCGCACUGACUAUUUCUGGUAGUAUUUUUCUCACAGCAAGUGGCAGCAAAUGUUGUAGAAUAAUGUGGCUCUCAUGACUCUUAAGCCCGAAUACCUUCCUCUCAUUGACAUGUACAUUAUGUCGUGUAUUGGAUGCAUAACCAUCAGGAAACUUCACCCCUUUUAGUACAUGACAAAAUAAUUUCAUCUCAUCAGGACUCAUUGAGUAGGGUGCUGGUGGUAAAUAAAAUUGGUCCUCUACUUCAAUUGGGUGAAGAUCAGUUCUAAGACCUAGAGCUUGAAGAUCUAAGCGAGAAUUCAAAUUAUCCUUUGACUUCCCAACAGUGCCCAAGAAUGUGUUCACUAAACUUUCACUGACAUUUUUGCCUAUGUGCAUAAAGUCAAAAUUAUGUCGCAACAUCAAAUCUUUCCAAUAUGGAAGCUUGAACCAAAUUGAUCUUCUUUUGAAAAUGACUAAUGGUUCACCUUCCUUGCGUUUCUUUCUUGCUAGUUUCUUCCCAGAUGGAUCCUUGCCAAAAUUAGUACUAAGGUCUUUAGUGCACUCCAAAAUUUCCUCUCCAGAAAGUGGUUUAGGUGCAGGUCUGAACUCAGUUUUACCGCCAAAUUUAUUGGCAUCAAACCUAAAUGGAUGAUUUUCAUGCAAGAAUCUCCUAUGACCCAGAUAGCAAGUCUUGGUACCAUUACCAAGUCUAAUUGAAUCAGUAGACAAGUGGCAAUCAGGACAUGCUGCUUCACCAGAUGUGACAGAGCCAGACACAUAUCCUAGACCUGGGAAAUCAGUAAUAGUCCCCAAUACCGCUGCUCGUAACUGGAAGUACUCAUCCCUAGAAGCAUCAUAAGUUCUAACACCAUUUUCAAACAUAUCUAACAAGUCAUUGACAUGUGGCUGACAAAAGAGAUCAAAAUCACCACAAGGAGAAUCUUUCCCAGGAGUCAGAAAAGACAAGAUGAAAUUUGAUUGCUUCAUGCACAUUGAAGGUGGGAAAUUGUAGGGUAUACAAAUACCAGGCCAAAUGCUGUAGCUAUUAUUCAUUGUUCUAAACGGAUUGAAGCCAUCGGUGGCAAAUGCAAGACGAAUAUUACGGCUAUCUGCAGCAAAGAUUGGAUGCUUUUUAUCGAUGUCCUCCCACAGAGGGGAAUCUGCAGGAUGCGUUAGGAGCCCAUCUUUUUUCCGGUCUUCAUCAUGCCACCUCAUCAGGCUUGCUGUUUUAGAGGACAUAAAUAACCUUUGGAGACACUUCUUUAUUGGAAAGUAGCGAAGAACCUUCUUGGGAACAUUAUAUACAUGUUUCCCGUCUAGAGUCUUUCUUGUUGAUUUCCACCGUGAAGCCUUACACUUUGGACAUGAAUUCAAAUUUAUGUUCUCCUUCCAAUAGAGAAUGCAAUCAUUUUCACACACAUGAAUACUAAUAUACCCAAUUCCUAUGGAUUUCACCAAUUUCUUAGCUUCAUAAAAGGUUUUCGCUAGUGCUGAACCAUCAGGGAGUGCAUCAUUGAGUAGGUCUAGCAGCAAGUUAAAAGAUUUAUCAGGCCAUCCUCCAAGGAGUUUGAUGUGUAGUAAUCUAAUAAGAAAUCGGAGUUGGGUAUAUUUCUUGCAAGUAGGGUAUAGUUCCUUAAUAUUUUCUUCGACCAACUUUUGAAUGGCAACUAGCUCCUCACAAGGAUCUAGAGCAGGACUAUUGUCCUCAAAAUCACCUCUAUCAUCUAAGCCACCAGCUAAGUCCCUAAGCAAACCAGAGAUGUCAUCAUCUUCAUCAGACUCAUCCAUAACCUCAACACCAUCUCCAUCACCGUCACUGUCACAAUUCUCAUGAUUCACAGAAGAUGUGAGUUCUCCAUGCAAAUUCCAUGUUCUAUAUCCUUUUAGGAACCCAUCACAAAUUAGGUGUUCACGGACUUCACUAGCCUCAUUCCAAAAAGAGUUGGAGCACUAUCUACAAGGACAUAGUAUCUUGCUACCCAUAGCUGCAUUACUAAAUGCAAAAGCUAAAAAAUGGUUCACCCCCUGCAAAUAUGCCUUGCCGUGCCUACAUGAUAGUUUUAUGUUAAAAAGCCACUCUAUCUAUGUAUACCCUUUUCAGUAUUUGUUAAGUCACUGUAUUUACCUAGCAUCAUCAUCAAUCCAAGAUUUAUCCAUCAGCUUUUACUAGGGACAACCAGAAGCUGACCAAAUAGACUCUAAAAAUAUAAACACAAAAGUAGAUCAUGGCAUCAAAUUCAAGCACAUUGUGCAUACAUAUCGUCAAUCGCAUUCAACAUAAGAUUCCAUGGAAGACAAGCAUCAACAACUAUAGUGAAGCGGUAGAGAGCACUUUACCUGAUGAUACUCCUAAGUCUAAUCCACGAGCUGGCUCCUAAUGCUUGGUGAGAAGGUGUCUGUAGUUGCUACGGCUUUUCUUAGGGCAAAGAUCCAAGGAGCUACUUCUUCUUGUUGGCUACCAUAGAGAAAACCAUAGAUCAAUGAUUUAGGUAACAAAUCUCAAAUAUGUACAGAAAAAACAAGCUUACAUCUUAAAGAACUAUAAUGGUAAUAUGGUUUCAAGAUUCAAUAAGAAAAAGGGACUUCUUCUCAGCUUGCACAUGAACAAGGAACUUAUGUACUAAUUAGCAGCACACAUACUAGCAUGUAAACAAAAAUUAAAAUACCAUUUUAUUUGCAGAUCUGUCAAAUCCAAAUAAAAUAACCAAAAAUGUGGGCAAAUGCACGGAUCUUAUUUUUAGCCUCCUAUUCGAGCAGUACAAACUAACAGCCACAUAGCACUAUGUAAACACAUGUAAAAAUUCAGAACUGUCCAGCAGACUAUUCUAUCUAUAAGCACAGCAUGCCAUACGAAUCCAUCAAGAAAUAUUCCACCAAAAGACAUCAAAACAUAAGAGCAAAUGCACGGAUCUAUACAGGAUAGUACCUGGAUGGUGACCUUCUUGUUGGUCGCUGGCUCCCUGCACAAAGAAACAAGCAGAUCCAUCAGGCCAGAGCACCCUCCCACCAGAGCAUGUGUGCGCCUGUACCAGAGAGAGGGGCGCACCCUUGGGGCAUCUGUGAGGCCGGGCAGCCGGCGGCUGGCCGGGGGCGGUGACAGGGGCCGGUCGUCUGCAGGCGGUGUCAACGACAGGGGCCGGGGGCGGCCGUCUGCUGCAGGGGGCGGUGAAGGGGGCCGAGGGCGCGCGGCGACAGAGGCCGGCCGGGAGCGGGUGCUGGCGGCGGGAGGUGACGGGGCCCGGGGGCGGUCGUCUGCUGCAGGGGGCGGUGACGGGGGCCGGGGGCGCGCGGCGACAGGGGCCGGCCAGGAGCUGGUGCUGGCGGCGGGCGGUGACGGGGGCCGGGGGCGCGCGGCCGGCCGGGAGCGGGUGCUGGCGGCUGUCUGGCAGGGGAGACUGAGAGAGUGCGGGGGUUAGGGUUUUCAGGCUGAGCGCCCAGGAGAGAGGAGAGGAAAUGGGCUGGCCGCUUGGCGGGCUGGAAUGGCGGGUUCCAUUUUUUUUCUGAUAAGUGGGUCCAUGUUAAAAGGUUAGACGGGAAGCAUUUUAUUUUUGCGUGGGCGAGUGGAGCCGAAUAUUGUGACGUAUGGUGGGUCGUUAAAUGUUGGAUAUAAUGACGCACCAUCCGACGUUAAAAUUAAAAAAGAAUUAACGACCGACGGUCCGUGGUCAAAAUGAGAUAUAGCGACAGACCAUCCAUUACGAAUUUUUAACGUCUAACCUUCCAACGUUAAAUCAUCAUUUUUAACGACCCCCAAGUGACGUUAAUUUUGGGCUAUGGUGUAGUGUACGCACUGGAUCAUGAAAAACAAUAUGCAAUUUCGGCUAAUCCCUAAUCAAACUCUACAUCAAAAUUAUUGUUUUCCAUAGCCAGAUCUCAUUUGCACAACGGAUGAAGAGCAUAAGUGCUAAGAAACAUUCAGUGCAAAAGCACACAGAUCUGCAGGCACAAAUCCAAUAAGCAUGCUCGGUUUCGCACUUUUGCACAACAUGAACGCGCCGACGAGCAAUCCUAGAGGCAGUCUUGUCCAGCGGCAUCGAAGGAUUAGGGUUUGGUGCCCGAUUUUCGCACGUUCACACAACAGGAAGGGAUGAGAAGGGAUUGGCACACCUGGCGAUCCUGCUGCGUCGUGUGGGCGCAGCGACGGUGAUCAUGGAGGCGGCAGCAUCCGGUGGCGUC
rnacentral:lncRNA from 1 species